AUGUGAUUAAAGUUCAAUUUACAGAGCAAGAGAUACAAUUGUUUAAAGGACCACUAUAGCUUAAUGAAGUGGUCUGGGUGCCUGGUCCAGCUAGGUUUAACCGUUUUUUCUAUAAACAUAGUAGUUUCAGAGAAACUGCUAUGUUUACACUAGGGUUAAUCCAGCCUCUAGUGGCUGUCUCAUUGACAGCCGCUAGAGGCACUUCCGCACUUCUCACUGUGAAAAUCACAGUGAGAAGACGCCAGCGUCCAUAGGAAAGCAUUGUGAAUGCUUUCCAAUGAUACUGGCUGAAUGCGUGCGCGGCUCUUGCUGCGCAUGCGCAUUCAGCCGAGGAGGCGGAGAGUCCCCCGCCCGGCACUGAAGAAAGAGUUACGUUUAACCCCUUCCACCCCCUAGAGCCUGGCGGGAGGGGCACCCUCAGGGCACUAUAGUGAUCCUUUAAGGUAAAUUACAUCUGACUGAAAGUGAAACCAGUUUUUUUUUUUCAUGCAGGCUGUCAAUCAGAGCCAGGGGAGGUGCGACAAGGCUGCAUAAACAGAAACAAAGUGAUUUAACUCCUAAAUGGCAGUGAAUUGAGCAACCUGAGGUGCAUGAUCUAUACACUAAAACUGCUUCAUGAAGCUAAAGUUGUUUAGGUGACUGUAGCGUCCCUUUAAAAAUACAAAAUUAUAACUAUACUGCUACCAAUAAAACUCACAUUCCC